rnacentral:lncRNA from 1 species
GGCGGCGAGGCCGGGGGCUGUGGACCGGCCCGCCGGGGAGGGGCCAGGGAGAGGGGGGCGGCCCCUCGGUCAGCGCGGCCCGGAGGCCAGACCCGGUGCCCAGCUCCCCAGCGGGCGCCUGCCCUGGGCUGUAGUACGGGAGCCUCGGCAGUCUCGGGCGAGAGUUUCGGGAGAGGGUCCCGAGAUCCCGCCUUGCGGGGUUCGGAACCCGGCCCUGGCCCGCGACUCGGACCUACCCCGAGCAGGGCCCCGGUGAGGCCGCGGUGCCCCCGCUUUCAGAGCCCCGCCGCGCGCGGAACCGCAGGAGCAGGACGUCCACCGGCGGUUUGCGAGCGGCGGGCUCGGGAUUCUAGGCUUCUCCUAUUGUGACUAUUUGUAGUUUGUAAGUUUUUUUCUAGUGAACACUGUGGUGCUUUUUCAUUAAGAGCGGCGAUUUUUUCAAGGCGCCUGCAGAAGUUGAGCGGCCCGGCCCCGCAGUGUGAGCGGCCCCUUUCCAGACUGCAGGACUGCGCGUUCCUGGGCCCGGGACCCGGCUCCUCCUCCCUCGGCUCCCCGGCCGGCCCCGCCCCGCCCCCGCCCAUGCCCCGCCCUCCACUCCUGACCCCGCCCCUCCCCCGGCUGCGGCGAAAAUCCGGAGUGGCGGAUUGCCCUCUGCUCCGCGGGAGCCGGCUGUGGGCUCCUGCAGGAGCGGUGCCGGGGGUGCGGCUGACGCCGCUCCGCGCUCCCUCUUCUCACUCUGUCCUGGGCGAGCCACGCGGGGCAGCGCCGCGACCCCAGCCGCCGGCCCUGCCUCAGAAGCGGGUCAGGACCCGACUGAGCAUGCUCGCCCUCCAGCGCAGCGUGGCUCGACCAGGUGGACGCUGCCGGGACCCGGGGUCGGACCGCGCAGGGGAGGCGCAGGUGCGUGGUCCGGCCGCAGGUGCAGGGGACCUGGCUGGAAGGCGGGGGAGGGGCAUCUGGCCUGCAGGCUUGCCAGCCAGCCUGUCCCAGCUCUGCGUCUCUCCAGCUUCCUUCCUAAAUCACCACCACCACCUGCCCUAGGAGUGGAGCCCUUGGGUUGGAGCCAGCUGAUUGGAUGUGAGCUCUAAG